rnacentral:rRNA from 1 species
UACAGAGGGGGCGAGCGUUAUUCGGAAUUAUUGGGCGUAAAGGGCGCGUAGGCGGCUUUUCAAGGGACGGGUGAAAUCCCUCGGCUUAACCGAGGAACUGCCUGUCAGACUGGAAGGCUUGAGACCGGGAGAGGUGAGUGGAAUUCCCAGUGUAGCGGUGAAAUGCGUAGAUAUUGGGGGGAACACCAGUGGCGAAGGCGGCUCACUGGACCGGAACUGACGCUGAGGCGCGAAAGCGUGGGGAGCAAACAGG